rnacentral:rRNA from 1 species
GACGAACGCUGGCGGCGUGCCUAACACAUGCAAGUCGAGCGGGGAGUACCUUCGGGUGCUUCUAGCGGCGGACGGGUGAGUAACGCGUGAACAAUCUGGCUCUUAGAGGGGGAUAACACAUUGAAAGAUGUGCUAAUACCGCGUAAGACCACAGUGCCACAUGGCGCAGGGGUCAAAGGAGCAAUCCGCUGAGAGAUGAGUUCGCGUCUGAUUAGCGAGUUGGUGAGGUAAUGGCCCACCAAGGCAACGAUCAGUAGCCGACCUGAGAGGGUGAUCGGCCACACUGGAACUGAGAAACGGUCCAGACUCCUACGGGAGGCAGCAGUGGGGAAUAUUGGGCAAUGGGGGGAAACCCUGACCCAGCAACGCCGCGUGAGGGAAGAAGGCUUUCGGGUCGUAAACCUCUGUCCCAUGUGAAGAGAAGAAGACGGUAGCAUGGGAGGAAGCCCCGGCUAACUACGUGCCAGCCGCCGCAGUAA